UCAACCAUCAAGCUCUGCUUAGUAUUGGGCGUCGUCCCCCCUGGGGACGUGCCUUAAAGGCCUCGGCGGCGGUUCAUAACCUCAAGCGUAGUAGAAUAUUUUAUUUAGCUUUCUAGGUUUUGGGCUGCUUCGCCUCGAGAAAACAUUCACUUCAA
rnacentral:misc_RNA from 1 species